GCCUAACACAUGCAAGUCGAGCGAGAAGAAGCUGAACAGAGAUUCGUCAACGGAAUGCUUGGAGUAGCGGCGGACGGGUGAGUAACGCGUAGGUAACCUGCCCUUCACACAGGGAUAGCCUCGGGAAACCGGGAUUAAUACCUGAUAAUGCGAUCGGAUCACAUGGUUUGAUCGCCAAAGAUUUAUCGGUGAAGGAUGGACCUGCGUCUGAUUAGCUUGUUGGUGAGGUAACGGCCCACCAAGGCAACGAUCAGUAGCCGACCUGAGAGGGUAAUCGGCCACAUUGGAACUGAGACACGGUCCAAACUCCUACGGGAGGCAGCAGUGGGGAAUAUUGCACAAUGGGCGCAAGCCUGAUGCAAGCAACGCCGCGUGAGCGAAGAAGGUCUUCGGAUCGUAAAGCUCUGUCCUGAGGAACGAAGAAGUGACGGUACCUCGGGAGGAAGCCCCGGCUAACUACGUGCCAGCAGCUGC
rnacentral:rRNA from 1 species